GGUAGCUCAGUGGUAAAGCACAUGCUUCACAAGCAUGAGGUCCUGAGUUCAAUCCCCAGUACCA
rnacentral:tRNA from 1 species